rnacentral:rRNA from 1 species
UUCCCCUUCGGGGGCAGAGUGACAGGUGGUGCAUGGUUGUCGUCAGCUCGUGUCGUGAGAUGUUGGGUUAAGUCCCGCAACGAGCGCAACCCUUGAUCUUAGUUGCCAGCAUUCAGUUGGGCACUCUAAGGUGACUGCCGGUGACAAACCGGAGGAAGGUGGGGAUGACGUCAAAUCAUCAUGCCCCUUAUGACCUGGGCUACACACGUGCUACAAUGGGCAGAACAAAGGGCAGCGAAGCCGCGAGGCUAAGCCAAUCCCACAAAUCUGUUCUCAGUUCGGAUCGCAGUCUGCAACUCGACUGCGUGAAGCUGGAAUCGCUAGUAAUCGCGGAUCAGCAUGCCGCGGUGAAUACGUUCCCGGGCCUUGUACACACCGCCCGUCACACCACGAGAGUUUGUAAC